CGAGAGAGUGAGCAUGAGGGAGGAUCUGAUCUACCUACUCCCUAAUUCCUAACGUCCAACAACCAGCAAAAGCCACCUCUCUCAUCUCUACCUCUUCGCCCCCUCCACUCGACGGACUUUCCCAUAUAAACCCCCCUUCCUUUAUAUUUGUGAUUGUCACCCCCACCCCCACCCCCUCCCCCUCCCCCUCACAUCUCCACCAAUACAAUGGCUUUGACUCCCUCUCACCUCUCCAAGCCCAUCUUCUCCACCAAGCCCACUUCCCAAACGCCUCUCUUCUCACUCCCCUCCACGCACCGGAUCAAAUCUUCUCCCUUCUCCGUGCGCAGCUCCGUCGCCGCCGCCCCUUCCCCCACCCUCGCCGCCAAGGCCUCCAACAAGGUCAAGCACGUCAAGGCGCGCCAGAUCGUCGACAGCAGGGGCAACCCCACCGUCGAGGUUGAUCUCAUCACCGAGGAUGACUCGCUCUACCGCUCCGCCGUCCCCAGCGGCGCCUCCACCGGGAUCUACGAGGCCCUCGAGCUCAGAGACGGCGACAAGGCCGUCUAUGGGGGUAAAGGAGUCCUCAAUGCAGUUCUAAAUAUUAACCAAUUUUUGGGCCCUAAGCUCGUUGGCAUUGAUGUCAGGAAUCAGACUGAUGUCGAUGCGGUUAUGCUGGAGAUUGAUGGGACUCCAAACAAAUCAAAACUUGGGGCUAAUGCGAUAUUAGGAGUUUCACUUAGUGUAUGUCGGGCUGGUGCUGGGGCAAAGGGGGUGCCAUUGUACAAGCACAUACAAGAGAUAUCAAACACGAAAGAACUUGUUAUGCCAGUUCCGGCAUUCAAUGUAAUCAAUGGAGGCAGCCAUGCUGGUAACAACCUGGCCAUGCAAGAAUUCAUGAUAUUGCCAGUAGGAGCAAGCUCAUUUUCUGAGGCUUUCCGGAUGGGCAGUGAAGUUUAUCAUAUUCUGAAGGGCAUUAUCAAGGCUAAAUAUGGACAAGAUGCAUGCAAUGUUGGAGAUGAAGGUGGAUUUGCUCCAAAUGUUCAGGACAACCGGGAGGGAUUGGUACUGCUCAUGGAUGCAAUUGAAAAGGCGGGGUACACGGGGAAGAUCAAAAUAGGGAUGGAUGUUGCUGCUUCAGAGUUCUUGACUAAAGAAGGGAAGUAUGAUCUCAAUUUCAAAAAACAACCCAAUGAUGGUGCCCAUGUGCUGACAGCUGAAAAACUUGGUGAUUUAUACCAAGAGUUCGUGAGAGAUUUCCCAAUUGUAUCGAUUGAAGAUCCAUUUGACCAAGACGAUUGGAGUUCUUGGUCUUCAUUGCAAUCUGCAGUUGAUAUCCAACUUGUGGGCGAUGAUUUGUUAGUUACAAAUCCAAAAAGGAUAGCUGAAGCUAUUCAGAAGAAGGCCUGCAAUGCUUUACUACUGAAGGUGAACCAAAUUGGUACUGUUACUGAAUCCAUUCAAGCAGCACUCGACUCAAAAGCUGCUGGAUGGGGCGUGAUGGUUAGUCACCGCAGUGGUGAGACGGAAGACAACUUCAUUGCGGAUUUAUCCGUGGGGUUGGCUAGCGGACAGAUCAAGACUGGAGCUCCUUGCAGAAGCGAGCGCUUGGCCAAAUAUAAUCAGCUUCUCCGCAUUGAGGAGGAACUUGGCAAUGUUCGCUAUGCUGGUGAAGGUUUCAGAUCCCCGUGAGGUCUUUUUACUCAACUUUGGGAUAAUCCAAAGUCUCUCUCUCUCUCUCUCUCUUUGUGUUGUAUAUUUAAUAUGAGUAGAAGACUGUCAAGAACAAGCACGGUCGUGCAUAUGUUGGCAUCUUGUUGUGGCAAUUUACAGAAAAUAAAACAGCUAGGCUGGCAGAGAGCUUCUUGUGUUCGUGAUAUCUGUAACGAGGCUGAUCGUGCAUCUCUCUAAUUGGGAGAAACCUUCGUGUUGAUGAGAAUGUAUGUAACUUAGAACAAAGUCUCUCUGUGUUUUUCCAUAUAUAACUUUUUUGCCUUGGAAAUUAGAAUGCGUGGGAUUCAAAUUUGUGUUUGAGAUUA